UACGAGAGGACCGGAGUGGACGUACCUCUGGUGUUCCGGUUGUCAUGCCAAUGGCACUGCCGGGUAGCUAUGUACGGACGGGAUAACCGCUGAAAGCAUCUAAGCGGGAAACCCACCUCAAAACUAGUUCUUGCUAAGAGCCGUGGUAGACCACCACGUUGAUAGGCCGGGUGUGGAAGAGGCGUAAGCCUUGAAGCUAACCGGUACUAAUCGCUCAAAAGGCUUGAUUCGU
rnacentral:rRNA from 1 species